rnacentral:rRNA from 1 species
UACGUAGGGUGCAAGCGUUGUCCGGAAUUAUUGGGCGUAAAGGGCGCGUAGGCGGCCACGCACGUCCGUUGUGAAAUCGCCCGGCUCAACUGGGCGGGGUCAGCGGAUACGGCGCGGCUGGAGCAAGCUAGGGGGCAAUGGAAUUCCCGGUGUAGUGGUGGAAUGCGUAGAUAUCGGGAGGAACACCAGUGGCGAAGGCGGUUGCCUGGAGCUUUGCUGACGCUGAGGCGCGAAAGCGUGGGGAGCGAUCCGG